GCGGCAUGUCGCCCUGACAUUUUCUCUUUGCAGCGCUCCCCCCAGGACCGGGAGUUGUCUAACUACAGCCUGGAAAAAAUGCAAAACAGACAAAUGCACCCUCGGGGGACAGCGGGAGAAAGCUAAUAGACCAGUCCCCGGCUCCCCACCCACGGAGGUGGUUUAGGUGGGAAGCAUGAUGUGUUUGUCAAGGGGGACCCAAGGCUGCCUUCCCCCUGCAUCUCUCCCACCCUGGGCCGCCUCUGCUCGGCAGCGGGAGCACGCCAGGUGCUGAUGUUCCAGAACCAGCUCUGCCACCCAGAGGCGAUAUGACUGGGGCAAGGCCCUUACCCUCCCGCACCUCGUCUACCUCCUCCACACCGCAGGGGUGUGUCCCAGACAAUUUCAGACUCUGUUAGGCUCUGCUGAGGGCCCUGAAGCUGUUGGGGAUGGCAACAAUACCACAGCGGUACGGAGGGACCCCAUCUGAGGCUCGGAGCUGAAACUCUAGACAGCUGCGGGAGGCUGGAAAAGGACAGAAAAGGAAACUGAGGUUCAGGAAGGUCACUCAGCCAGUAAGUGAGUCACCCAGGUUUAUCCAAGCCCAAAGCCCAAGUUCUUCACACUCCACUCCAGCGCCUGCCUGGGCAGGAUUCCACGGGAGGACAGCUAGCCACAGACUCCCAGGAGGGGUAACAAAGUCAAGACACUUACCAGCUGAGAAACGUCCCCUAAAAUGCCAUCUUACCAUGCUUUCUCUUUCCAUUAAAGCUCAAAUGAUA